CGUGUAGGUGGUUAGGAAAGUUGGAUGUGAAAGCCCUGGGCUCAACCCAGGAAGUGCAUCCAAAACUGCUUAGCUAGAGGGCGAGAGAGGGAGGUGGAAUUCCUAGUGUAGAGGUGAAAUUCGUAGAUAUUAGGAGGAAUACCGGUGGCGAAGGCGGCCUCCUGGAUCGAUCCUGACACUGAGACGCGAAAGCGUGGGGAGCAAACA
rnacentral:rRNA from 1 species